ACGACCUUACUUGAACAGGAUCUGUUCUAUAGGAUCGUACCCCUACUGUAACUAAACAGCGGCUUGAUUGAAAGAAAGAAUGAACCUACGUACUGACAAGUG
rnacentral:snoRNA from 1 species